CCUUCAUAGCUGGAGCAAUCUUCAUGCCGUCAUUCUUUACAUUGGAAAAUAACAUAUUUCUCAUUCUCAUUAAGAAUACAUAUUUGUUCUUAACGAAAAUAUCUACAUCGACAAGAAUCUUCUCAACCAAUCUUCAUCAGCUUUCUUGUUUCCUGGUUAAAUUUAUGUAUGUUGUAGUAUAUUAUGAUGUAAGGAAAACAAAUCGGGAGUUCUCUGUAUCAAUUUUUGGUAGAGUUACAUGACGAAUAUAUGGAGGUAACAUAUUCCUCAUCAUAUUCCCCUCAUUUUGCCUCGAUUGGUCAUAUUUAUGAAUUCUACUUUUAUGCAAGAAACUAAACGUCCCAAGACGACUUUGCUAUCAAUAACAGAACCUAAAUGGACACAGCCACACAUUUAGUACUGAAUUACUUUUAAAUAUAUGAUUGUGUUUCCAUUAAACUGUAUCUUAAUCAAGGGGAAAUUUAUAUAGAGCUGAACAAAAACAUUCAUUUCGUGACACUGUAAAAAUCAACUAUCGCCUUCCACCACUCUCUUUCUCCUGGUACUUACUGGGUAAGCUUAGCAGCUUACAGCAUAUGAUGCAUGGGCCACCAUCAAUGAACAGUUUCCGAAUUAUAUCAAAUCCGUCAUCU
rnacentral:lncRNA from 1 species